rnacentral:rRNA from 1 species
GGGUAGCUAUGUCGGGAAUGGAUAAGCACUGAAAGCAUCUAAGUGCGAAACCAACCUCAAGAUGAGAUUUCUUUUAAGGGUCGUUGGAGACUACAACGUUGAUAGGUCACAAGUGUAAAGGCAGUAAUGUCAGAGCUGAGUGAUACUAAUUACCCGUAAGCUUAUUGUA